rnacentral:rRNA from 1 species
UGAAUACGAGAUGCUACGGCGUCGAAGCAGUGUAUGUCAGACUUCCAAGAAAAGCUCGCAAUGUCAUAAAUAAAGAAUGCCUGUACCAUAACCGACACAGGUGGGUAGGUAGAGUAUACUAAGGGGCGCGAGAUAACUCUCUCUAAGGAACUCGGCAAAAUAACUCCGUAACUUCGGGAGAAGGAGUGCCUUCUAUUAGAAGGUUGCAAUAACAAGAUCCAAGCAACUGUUUAUCAAAAACACAGGUCUCCGCUAAGUCGUAAGACGAUGUAUGGGGGCUGACGCCUGCCCAGUGCCAGAAGGUUAAAGAAGUUGGUUAGCUUUGGCGAAGCUGAUGACUGAAGCCCUGGUGAACGGCGGCCGUAACAAUAACGGUCCUAAGGUAGCGAAAUUCCUUGUCGGGUAAGUUCCGACCCGCACGAAAGGCGUAAUGAUUUGGAUACUGUCUCGGAGAGGGACUCGGUGAAAUAGACUUGUCUGUGAAGAUGCGGACUACCUGCACCAGGACAGAAAGACCCUAUGAAGCUUUACUGUAACUUGAAAUUGAAAUUGGACUUUAUUUGCGCAGCAUAGGUGGAAGGCGUUGAGAUUACUCUUGCGGGAGUACUGGAGCCAUCAGUGAGAUACCACUCCUAUAAUGUUAGAUUUCUAACUUUGGAUCAUGAUCUGGUCAAAGAACAGUUUCAGGCGGGCAGUUUGACUGGGGCGGUCGCCUCCCAAAUGGUAACGGAGGCGUACAAAGGUUUCCUCUGAACGGGUAGAAAUCGUAUCUAGAGUGUAAAGGCAUAAGGAAGCUUGACUGUGAGACCUACAAGUCGAGCAGGGACGAAAGUCGGUCUUAGUGAUCUGACGGUGCUGAGUGGAAAGGCCGUCACUCAACGGAUAAAAGUUACUCUAGGAUAACAGGCUGAUCUCCCCCAAGAGUUCACAUCGACGGGGAGGUUUGGCACCUCGAUGUCGGCUCAUCGCAUCCUGGGGCGGUAGUACGUCCCAAGGGUUGGGCUGUUCGCCCAUGAAAGCGGUACGCGAGCUGGGUUCAGAACGUCGUGAGACAGUUCGGUCCAUAUCCGGUGUAGGCGUUAGAAUAUUGAGAGGAGCCUUCUUUAGUACGAGAGGACCGAGAAGGACAUACCUCUGGUGUACCAGUUAUCGUGCCAACGGUAAACGCUGGGUAGCUAUGUAUGGAGAGGAUAACCGCUGAAAGCAUCUAAGUGGGAAGCCCACCUCAAGAUGAGUAUUCUCAUC